rnacentral:sRNA from 1 species
GCAGGGUAUGGUGGUGCACACCUGUAAUCCCAGCAGCUUGGGAGGCUGAGGCAGGAGGAUUGCAAGUUCAAAGGCAGCUUCAGCAACUUAGCAAGACCUUAAGCAAUUUAGCAAGACACUGUCUCAA